rnacentral:rRNA from 1 species
GAGCAUGAAAUCCCUGGCAGGUGCUGUCAGAGAAUUGUGGCCGGGAGAGGCGGUGGAGCUCCGACUGUUGCUGUCGAAGUUGACCUGGAAAGGCACGUCAGAGAGGGUGAGAGCCCCGUGGUCGACACCGACGGGAAGGGCCGUAGCCGUCUUCGGAGAGUCGGGUUGUUUGGGAAUGCAGCCCAAAGUGGGUGGUAAACUCCAUCUAAAGCUAAAUACUGGCACGAGACCGAUAGCGAACAAGUACCAUGAGGGAAAGGUGAAAAGUACUUUGAAAAGAGAGUCAAAAAGACCGCGAAACCGUUAGGAGGGAAACGAAUGCAGCUGAAGUGGCUCCGUAUCAGGUUCAGGGGAUGUCGGUGGACGUUCCGGCUGCGGACAGCUAACGCGUCCUCGGUCGGAGAGGCUGCCGACUUCCUUGCACUCCUGUUGGGAGCCGGCCAACAGCGGUUGUUCCUGGCCCAGAAGGCCGGUCGGGAGGUACCUCCGCACUCGUGCAGAGAACGUAUAGCCGUCCGGUUCGGCGGUCUGGGAGCGACCKAGGAGAGUCGUGAACUUUCACGCUUGCAGCGCAGGCCCCUCGGGGCCGGGUCGCCUCUGUUCGUUUGGGCCCCGCGGUUGGGACUGCUUGCAGUGUCUGCCGACGGUCAGCCUGCUCGGUCGGGGGAUUGGCCACGCCUUGCGCUCUAGUUGUUGGUGCUCGAAUGGCUGCAUCCGACCCGUCUUGAAACACGGACCAAGGAGUGCAACAUGCGUGCGAGUCUUUGGGUGGCAAACCCGUCGGCGCAAUGAAGGUGAAGGCAGGCGUUGGUCUGCUUAGGCGAGAGCUUCCUCGGGAGCGCAUCGUCGACCGAUCCCAGGCUACGCUGUGGCGGGAUUUGAGUAAGAGCGUGCCUGUUGCGACCCGAAAGAUGGUGAACUAUGCCUGAAUAGGGUGAAGCCAGAGGAAACUCUGGUGGAAGCUCGUAGCGAUUCUGACGUGCAAAUCGAUCGUCAAAUUUGGGUAUAGGGGCGAAAGACUAAUCGAACC